ACCCGUUGCAUGUGCGGGUCAUCACAUGCACCUCCCUGUUGGACUGCCCCGGCCAUUGCGCCGGGGCUUUUUU
rnacentral:ncRNA from 1 species